ACCAACAGUGUCAGAGCCCUUGAUAAUGACAUUUGACCCCUCCUUGGAGAGCAUAGCAAAUUGUUUUCCUUUGAAGAAAUUGUUUCAUGCCUGGGCCCCCACUUUCUGCUCCUUCCUCCGGGAGCCAGGACUGCGUUAUCCACAGGUGGAGUCAUGGUCCAUGGUUUUCUGGAUGGUUUCUGGUUGAAAAGGCCACAGCAGUUAAGAACUGGAAUGACCUUUUAGAAUUUCAUGGUUCAAAUCUCUUGUUCAUGGGUGAUUAUAAAAGUCAUGGAUGUGAAUGGAGUACCCCCAGGGGCUGCUUAACAGCUCUGAGAGAUCCAGACAGCAAGUGCCCACCGGCUUUAGCCGAUCCUCUUCCCAGCCUCUCUAAAUCCAGUAUCCAGUCCCAGGUCUUCUGUUCUCAGAGUCCUGUCCUGUUUCCUCACUACGGGAGACCUCUGCCACUGUAGCAGCAGUGGAGAGAGCAGGCGCAGUUCCAGGACUUAAUCGCUGCUUCAGGAGCCCACCCCAAGCGGAGCGGCUGCCUGGCAAAGACCUCCCAUCCAAGUAACCUGUGCCUCCUCUUCGUUCACACAGAAGCAGCGAGGGCUGGAUCACCACUGCAGAGAUAACAGGCAGAAAACUGACCAGAGUGCUAACCAAGAGAAAUCAUCUCUUCUACUCCGCAUGAUGCCAUCUUUCAGGCCACCCGUUCUCAGGAUGAUCAGCACACACUGUGUCUCCCCCGGGUUUUCUGCUGCAGAUGGAGUAGAACUGUGCUACAUGGGAAAACAACACUGCCUGCUCCCUGGCGUUUCUGGACUAUUAGGCUCCAGCUGCAGAGACUCUUUAGCAAGUGUUGCCUCCACCAGCUUAAAUUUUCAGGUGAGUUGGUCAAACAUCAACUGAAGAAAAUCAAGACAGGCAUCUUGGUACAAUGCCUACAAUCUCAGAAUUGAGGAGACUAAGGUAGGGUGGUUGUUGAGUUUGGGGCUAACCUGUACAACUUAGUAAGAGAUUGUCCAU